rnacentral:rRNA from 1 species
CCUACGGGAGGCAGCAGUGAGGAAUAUUGGUCAAUGGGCGGAAGCCUGAACCAGCCAAGUAGCGUGCAGGAUGACGGCCCUACGGGUUGUAAACUGCUUUUAUACGGGAAUAACGCGCCUUACGUGUAGGGCCUUGCAUGUACCGUAUGAAUAAGGACCGGCUAAUUCCGUGCCAGCAGCCGCGGUAAUACGGAAGGUCCGGGCGUUAUCCGGAUUUAUUGGGUUUAAAGGGAGCGUAGGCCGGAUGUCAAGCGUGCUGUGAAAUGUCCGGGCUCAACCCGGGCCUUGCCGGGCAAACUGGCGUGCUUGAGUGCGCGAGAAGCAGGCGGAAUGCGUGGUGUAGCGGUGAAAUGCUUAGAUAUGACGCAGAACCCCGAUUGCGAAGGCAGCUUGCUGCAGCGGAACUGACGCUGAUGCACGAAAGCGCGGGUAUCGAACAGGAUUAGAUACCCGGGUAGUC